UACGUAGGUGACAAGCGUUAUCCGGAAUUACUGGGCGUAAAGCGCACGCAGGCGGCGCGAUAAGUCUGACGUGAAAUCUCCUGGCUUAACUGGGAGGGGUCGUUGGAAACUGUCGUGCUUGAGGCGGUGAGAGGGGUGUAGAAUUCCCGGUGUAGUGGUGGAAUGCGUAGAUAUCGGGAGGAAUACCAGUGGCGAAAGCGACACCCUGGCACUGUGCCUGACGCUCAUGUGCGAAGGCGUGGGGAGCGAACGGG
rnacentral:rRNA from 1 species